ensembl:snRNA U6 U6 spliceosomal RNA
GUGCUUGCUUCAGCAGCACAUAUACUAAAAUUGGAGUGAUACAGAGAUUAGCAUAGCCCUUGCAUAAAGAUGACACACAAAUUUGUGAAAUAUUCCAUAUAUUU